rnacentral:rRNA from 1 species
GAAUUCGCCCUUAGAGUUUGAUCCUGGCUCAGGACGAACGCUGGCGGCGCGCCUAACACAUGCAAGUCGAACGGAGCUUAGAGAGCUUGCUUUUUAAGCUUAGUGGCGAACGGGUGAGUAACGCGUGAGUAACCUGCCCUAGAGCGGGGGACAACAGUUGGAAACGACUGCUAAUACCGCAUAAGCCCACGGUACCGCAUGGUACUGAGGGAAAAGGAUUUAUUCGCUUUAGGAUGGACUCGCGUCCAAUUAGCUAGUUGGUGAGGUAACGGCCCACCAAGGAGACGAUUGGUAGCCGGACUGAGAGGUUGAACGGCCACAUUGGGACUGAGACACGGCCCAGACUCCUACGGGAGGCAGCAGUGGGGGAUAUUGCACAAUGGGGGAAACCCUGAUGCAGCGACGCCGCGUGGAGGAAGAAGGUUUUCGGAUUGUAAACUCCUGUCGUUAGGGACGAUAAUGACGGUACCUAACAAGAAAGCACCGGCUAACUACGUGCCAGCAGCCGCGGUAAAACGUAGGGUGCAAGCGUUGUCCGGAAUUACUGGGUGUAAAGGGAGCGCAGGCGGGAAGACAAGUUGGAAGUGAAAACCAUGGGCUCAACCCAUGAAUUGCUUUCAAAACUGUUUUUCUUGAGUAGUGCAGAGGUAGAUGGAAUUCCCGGUGUAGCGGUGGAAUGCGUAGAUAUCGGGAGGAACACCAGUGGCGAAGGCGGUCUACUGGGCACCAACUGACGCUGAGGCUCGAAAGCAUGGGUAGCAAACAGGAUUAGAUACCCUGGUAGUCCAUGCCGUAAACGAUGAUUACAAGGUGUU